CAAACCAGCUCUCUCAGAGUGUUUAUCUCAUGGCACAGAGCACUGUGUGCCCGCACAUCAAAGACUGUGGGAACAGACGACGCUCGGCGCAGCAGCUGCACUGGGAUCCUGUCCACACCCUUCCUGUUUGCCGCGGUCUACCUCGGGGCUAUUAUUUUCCCAACGGCCCUGCGACGAUAACCCCCCUACUGCCGUGGACACAGCUCCGCUGCCAGCACCACCUCCCCGCUCCAUGCCUUUGCUCCCGACCGCACCACGUCUCUCCGGGGCUCAACGGCCCACUGUGAUGUCUGAAGCUGGCUGGCAUUGUUCUCAGGGCGCUGGGGUCAUAAACAGAGGUACGCCACCUGCCGUCCUACCUGGGCGCAUACCUGGUUGAGCGGGGUGCCGGCGUUGGAACUGGGUCCCGAAUGUCCCAAAUGGAGACCCAGCACCUCACCUCUGGACCAUAACCCUCCCAGUCAACCAGGUACUGGAAUCCCCUGCCCCGAGAUCGAACCUUCAGGAGACGUCUCACACUGCUGGUUGGCCAUCGAAGAGAUGGGGGAGAGGGGUGGGCCUAGAAACAGGAAACAAAAGGCUGUGCGACAUGGUAUUAAUUCUAGACACAGGAAAGGUAGGAAGUGUACGGAGGGUACGGGGCAACAGAGCACAAACAGCAGAGGGGCUAAUGAUCUUGGAGCGGGGGGGAAGGUCUCCGCUUCCGGAUGGGUGUAGCUGCAGGCAUGUAGCCGUGGGGCUAUAGUGGCGUGCCAGCGCAUCGGGCUUGACCUUCUUGGAUACAUGUCGGUGCCAUACUGAACCCCACCCGGGGGUCCUGGUACUCUGCGAGUCUGGCGGAGAUGUCCGGGGCAAUUUCCAAGCCCCCAGGAAAACAUCCCGGGGCAGGCAGAGCUGACUUCAGGCAAUGAUUGUGGCAGCACGGACUCCAGACCAUGAUGGCACCAGUAGCCCAUGAUGGCAUCAGUAGCCCAGUCAAUAGAUGGAUUGUAUCGCUGGAGCCAAGAGAAUCCCAAUACCAAGGGGAACCUGCGAAGACUCAACUAACAGGAAUUGGAUCGUCUCACUGUGGUUCCCUGACACUCGUAGGUUGAUGAGCGUGGUAUGGUGGGUGACCCGGCCUAUAGGAGCGCCCAUCCAGCGCUCUAACGUUCAUGGUGAUGGAGAGGGGUUGAGUGGGGAUGCCCAGCUCGGACGCCAGGGUAACGUCCAUAAGACUCGGGCCCCCGAGUUGAUGAGUACCUGGAGAGACUUGGACUGGUCAACCCACAGCAGGACGGCAUGGAGAGGGGGGCAAGUAGGGGGAGAAUAAAAAUGAUUAAUUAAAGACCCACCAGAGUACUCACUCCAAUGAAUGAGCUAGGUCUCUUGAAGGGACAGGUAGACACAUAAUGGCCAGCAGUACCGCAAUACAGACAACUCUGGGUGUCAAGUCUGCAUAUACGUUUGGCUGGAGACAGCCAAGCCCUGCUGAGCUGCAUUAGCUCGUGAAGAGGUGAAUCGGCAGUCUUUGGAGACUCUUGAAGGAACUCUGGUAAGCUCGGAUCCUCUCGGGGACGUAGACACCAGGGACUUCAUCAGAUGCAAGGUGGGUUCCUUGAGUGAGCGAUUGGGACCGCAAUCAGACCUAUUCUCCCUCCUACAUUCCCGUAGCCUACCAUCGAUCCGGAUGGUUAAAGCGAUGAGUGAGUCGAGGUCCAUCGGUAGUUCCCGGGCUGCAAGUUCGUCCUUUACCUCCCGGACAUCAGCGUGAUGAGGUAUGCUAUCUUAGAGGGGUCCGAGGGAAGGAGAAAGGCUACAGCUCCAUGACAAGGGAACAACAGGUGACCGACUCUCCAUCGAAGCGCUCCAAGGGAGGUAAGCGGGGUUCCCGGGAAACCAGGGUGACGGCCCUGCUACAUGCCGGGUUACUGAGGGGCUGGGAGGUUACCGUCGUGGUAGGCUGCCUAGUAGACAACCCACUGAAUUGCUCCCGCAAUGUGUACAAUGCUCAGUCGUUCGGCCACAGCCUGGAACCCUGCCAUCAGACCGCGAAGCAACUUCUCGUGCCUACCAAUGGUGGCUCCUUGGGAGGAGAUGUCAUUGCGGAGUUGGUCCAAGUCUUCUAGGUCAGUCAUGAUCAGUUCGUACAUGUCAUGGUCAGUUUGUACAGGUAGGACGUACCUGGAGGGGGGGAGGGGGGUACUGUCACGCCCUGAUCUGUUUCACCUGUCUUUCUGCUUGUCUCCACCCCCUCCAGGUGUUGCCCAUCUUCCACGUUAACCCUUGUGUGUUUAUACCUGUGUUCUCCGUUUGUAUGUCAGUUCGUUUUGUUCGUUCAUACCUACCAGCUUAUUUCCCUUGCUCCUGUCUGUGCUUUAGUGCCUGUUUUCUAGUUUCCCGGUUUUGACCAUUCCUGCUUGCCUGCCGUCCUGUACCUUUGCCCCACUACUCUGGAUUACCGACCUCUGCCUGACCUGACCCUGAGUCCGCCUGCUGUUCCGGUGUCUUACACCCUCUCUGUAUUAUUGACCCCUGCAUGCCUUGACCUGUCGUUUGCCUGCCCCUGUUUAAAGAAUAAACUGUUGUUUCUUCAACACUGUCUGCAUCUGGGUCAUACCUUAAAAUGUGAUACCACAUAUUGGUCCCAUAAAAACAAUAACCAAACUUGAAUUUAUGUUCUCUUACUUAUUUCAUUUUUACCCAUCUCCAGUGUCUGACAUCAACUGCAGGCUCCGUGGUGUACCCUGAGUGCAAUUUGAAGAAUGAGUCAUAAAAAAAAGUUACAGAGCGCAUAAUAUCCAGUAACCCACAAGUAUUCCCAGUGACAUAAAAAUGUCACAGCUUAGAGGAUGUGUUUAUGUGUGUCCUGUGUUAGGUCUGUGUGACCCCUGCCCUGACCACCUCCUGGGGAGGCCAUGUUUCCUGUGGGUGGCGGUGCGUGGCAGGUUGUCCCCGGUUACAGGCAGGAGGAGAGGCGUCAGAGUGUGCGGCGCAGACCCAGGUACUUUUCUCAUACAGGGUGAUACAUCCUCCUAGUCCAGGCACGAGAUAUCUAUUUGCCAGCCCAUUGGGAAAGAGCAGUGGCUAUCUGGGAGACGUCAUGGACACCUCUUCCUCUCCCUGCGUCUCUCUGUGGUGGUCAGUGUGAACAGCCUUAGAUUCUUCUGGGUGAUUCACAGGCCCGUUGAUGACAGGUAUUUUCCAAGCCUGGACCUCUACAGCCACAGCUGCCCCUCCCAGUGUUUCCCGCGCUGAGUGUGUGAAGAACCGCUGGACGUGUGGGUGAUCGGGGCUUGCGAGCACCCGGCCACCCCCCAGCCGCCCCCACGUGCCCCGAUAAGGGAGCUGACCCCUCUGUUGUCACAUUCUCCCAGAGAUUAGCCACAGUGGUUGGGGUAGAUUGGACCGGACUGCCAGGGAACAGAGAACCAGAGAGGAGGGGCAGGGGUCAAGCAUGUAUGGUAGUAAUGUUUUUCAGCUCCUAUCUCUGAUAAUAAGGAUCCGCCCCUUUAAAAAAAAUGAUAUACCCAAAUCUAACUGCCUGUAGCUCAGGCAAGGAAGCAAGGAUAUGCAUAUUUUUGGUACCAUUUGAAAGGAAACACUUUGAGGUUUGUGGAAAUGUGAAAGGAAUGUAGGAGAAUAUAACACAAUAGAUCUGGUAGAAGACAAUACAAAGAGAAAACCAACCUUUCUUUUGUAUUUUUUUUGUACCAUCAUCUUUGAAAUGCAAGAGAAAGGCCAUAAUGUAUUAUUCCAGCCCAGGUGCAAUUUAGGUUUUGGC